rnacentral:ncRNA from 1 species
AGGCGGCUUUCUGGUCUGCAACUGACGCUGAUGUGCGAAAGCGUGGGGAUCAAACAGGAUUAGAUACCCUGGUAGUCCACGCCGUAAACGAUGAGUGCUAAGUGUUAGGGGGUUUCCGCCCCUUAGUGCUGCAGCUAACGCAUUAAGCACUCCGCCUGGGGAGUACGGUCGCAAGACUGAAACUCAAAGGAAUUGACGGGGACCCGCACAAGCGGUGGAGCAUGU